AUUGAACGCUGGCGGCAGGUUUAAUACAUGCAAGUCGAACGAGCGGCGGACGGGUGAGUAAUGUCUGGGAAACUGCCUGAUGGAGGUGGAUAACUCCUGGAAACGUUAGCUAAUACCGCAUACCAUCUGAUGUGCUCAGAUGGGAUUGGCUCGUGGGUGGGGUAACGGCUCACCUAGGCGACGAUCCCUAGCCGGCCUGAGAGGAUGACCAGCCACACUGGAACUGAGACACGGGCCAGACUCCUACGGGAGGCAGCAGUGGGGAAUUGUGCACGGUGGGCGAAAGCCGGGUGCAGCCAUGCCGCGGGUGUGAAGAAGGCCGUCGGGUUGUAAAGUACUUUCAGCGGGGAGGCGAUGACCGGAGUAGAAGCACCGGCUAACUCCGUGCCAGCAGCCGCGGUAAUAC
rnacentral:rRNA from 1 species